rnacentral:lncRNA from 1 species
GGAUACCGACUGUGGGAUCCCUUGGAGAAGAAGGCCUUCAUCAGUAGGGAUAUGGUCUUUAAUGAAAACUUAGUUCUCCAAAGGCAAGGAGGUAUGGAGGAACAGCAAGAGCAGUAGGAGGUCCAGCUAGGUAGCGGUGGAUAGCUAACUUCUUACAUUGUUUCGUCUUUUAUAGGUGCACCUAGAGGACUCAGUAUUCAAAUGGAGCACUCUUCAAAGGUGUCUCCAUAGGUGGAGAGGGCUGAGAUGGGAGGUAGAAGCCAAGGGGUUCAACAGGAAUAAGUUGGACCUAGAAUAGACAUCGGGGUUGCAUUGCACAAGCGCAAGAGGAAUAUGAGGCAAUC